rnacentral:rRNA from 1 species
AACGAACGCUGGCGGCAUGCCUAACACAUGCAAGUCGAACGAGACCUUCGGGUCUAGUGGCGCACGGGUGCGUAACGCGUGGGAACCUGCCCUUAGGUUCGGAAUAACUCCCCGAAAGGGGUGCUAAUACCGGAUAAUGUCUUCGGACCAAAGAUUUAUCGCCUUUGGAUGGGCCCGCGUUGGAUUAGCUAGUUGGUAGGGUAAAAGCCUACCAAGGCGACGAUCCAUAGCUGGUCUGAGAGGAUGAUCAGCCACACUGGGACUGAGACACAGCCCAGACUCCUACGGGAGGCAGCAGUGGGGAAUAUUGGACAAGGGGCGAAAGCCUGAUACAGCAAUGCCGCGUGAGUGAUGAAGGCCUUAGGGUUGUAAAGCUCUUUUACCCGGGAUGAUAAUGACAGUACCGGGAGAAUAAGCUCCGGCUAACUCCGUG